AGAUGUAUGUGGUAAAGAGGGUUGAUCAGUAACUUUUGAGAAAAAAGGUGAUGGAGAUGAAUUGAUUUUGGUGACCAAAUCCAAUGAAUUUAAAUUUUGUGUAUCAAUAGGUGAGUGCUUGUCACUAGUAAGAAAAGGAAAUAUGUUUUCAUAAAAUACUACAUUCCUUGAUAGAAAAAUUUACCUUGAGUUGAAAUCUAACAAAAGGUAG
rnacentral:lncRNA from 1 species